UCUCGUACGAUCACCGAAGUUAAGCAGCGUAGAGCCAGGUCAGUACUUAGAUGUGGGACCGCUUGGGAACACCUGGUACUGUAAGC